rnacentral:rRNA from 1 species
CACCGCGGUUAUACGAGAGGCCCAAGUUGACAGACACCGGCGUAAAGCGUGGUUAAGGAAAACUAAAACUAAAGCCGAACACCUUCAGGGCAGUUAUACGCAUCUGUAAGGCAUGAAGUCCAAUCACGAAAGUGGCUUUACACUACCUGACUCCACGAAAGCUAUGGCA